rnacentral:rRNA from 1 species
GGUUCGUAGUGACCUGCGGAGGUCAUUAUUUGUUUAUGGGACACAAAAGUGUUCUCCAAUACAAACCCUCCCUGUGUACCAAUCCGUGUUGCUUUCCCAGGUGGUUGGUUUCGGUCAAUGUCCAAUCCUGCAUGCUAGUUGAGUUAACAUCACUAAGCGGGUCCCUGGGAAAGGGCCUUACCAAUGCAAAUAUUUAAAUCAGCUGUCUGAGUUGGCCCAGUGCCGUAUUAUUUGAAUAAGUUAAAACUUUCAACAACGGAUCUCUUGGCUCUCGCAUCGAUGAAGAACGCAGCGAAAUGCGAUAAGUAAUGUGAAUUGCAGAAUUCAGUGAAUCAUCGAAUCUUUGAACGCACAUUGCGCCCCUUGGCAUUCCUUGGGGCAUGCCUGUUCGAGCGUCACUGCAAACCCGCUCAUAAAUAUUAUGGUAAUGAUGGAAGUGAAGUGAGGACACUAAUAUGCCUCGGUCACCCCAUUGAAAUGUAUUGGCAGGACAAUCAACCUCUGCAAUGGACUUAGUAACUGUUUUGAAGACAUCAAUCAGUCAAUUGUGAGGUUUUGGCCUGGCCCCGAUGGAUCUCCAUCAAAGAUGAACUCUGGGUUGACCUCGGAUCAGGCAGGGAUACCCGCUGAACUUAAGCAUAUCAAUAAGCGGAGGAA